AUUGAACGCUGGCGGCAGGCCUAACACAUGCAAGUCGAGCGGAUGAAGGGAGCUUGCUCCUGGAUUCAGCGGCGGACGGGUGAGUAAUGCCUAGGAAUCUGCCUGGUAGUGGGGGAUAACGUCCGGAAACGGGCGCUAAUACCGCAUACGUCCUGAUGGAGAAAGUGGGGGAUCUUCGGACCUCACGCUAUCAGAUGACCCUAGGUCGGAUUAGCUAGUUGGUGGGGUAAAGGCCUACCAAGGCGACGAUCCGUAACUGGUCUGAGAGGAUGAUCAGUCACACUGGAACUGAGACACGGUCCAAACUCCUACGGGAGGCAGCAGUGGGGAAUAUUGGACCAUGGGCGAAAGCCUGAUCCAGCCAUGCCGCGUGUGUGAAGAAGGUCUUCGGAUUGUAAAGCACUUUAAGUUGGGAGGAAGGGCAGUAAGUUAAUACCUUGCUGUUUUGACGUUACCAACAGAAUAAGCACCGGCUAACUUCGUG
rnacentral:rRNA from 1 species